rnacentral:rRNA from 1 species
GACGAACGCUGGCGGCGUGCUUAACACAUGCAAGUCGAACGGAAAGGCCCUGCUUUUGUGGGGUGCUCGAGUGGCGAACGGGUGAGUAACACGUGAGUAACCUGCCCUUGACUUUGGGAUAACUUCAGGAGACUGGGGCUAAUACCGGAUAUGAGCUCCUGCUCCAUGGUGGGGUUUGGAAAGAUUCGGCGGUUGGGGAUGGACUCGCGGCUUAUCAGCUUGUUGGUGGGGUAGUGGCUUACCAAGGCUUUGACGGGUAGCCGGCCUGGGAGGGUGACCGGCGACAUUGGGACUGCGAGACGGACCAGAAGGCUACGGGAGGCAGCAGGGGGGAAUAUUGCACAAUGGGGGGAAGCCUGAGGCAGCAAGGCCGCGUGCGGGAUGACGGCUUUCGGGGUGUAAACCGAUUUCGCCGGUGACGAAGAGUGAGUGACGGUAAUGGGUAAAGAAGCACCGGCUAACUACGUG